AAAUAAAUUCCAUCAGUGUCCUUUUUUGCUACCUGGCAUAAAUCAUUACCUAAGUUCAGAAUUGGUCUGUCUUGGUACUCGGUGACCAGCAGAGAAAUGUAGGUGAUAAAGCCAUCCAAUGUUACCUGAUGAAAGCUGAAGAAAUUGUGAAUUACUUUGAAGGCAACAUCCAUAGUAGUUAAACACUUUCAGCUUUCUAGGCAUAAGUGCAAUGAACUCAGAAUUGUUGCUAGUUUAAGUCUUGGAAUUCACAGAUGGUACUGUUCUUGUUAUAUGCCCAGUGGAAGUCACAGUUAACCAACCUGGCUCCUUGCUUUCAUUUCUCUGUAACCUAGGGUGAUGUCAUUCAUUCACCGAACAUUUGUCUAGCAUUUUUCUGGAUCACAUUGAUCCAGGCAGCAAGAACAGGUGAAUAAUGAAGAGUGUCUGGCAGAUGUUGCACUUCCACAAAUAGCCUCGUACGUGACGGCAAGUAUUAUGACGGGGCAAGUAUCAUGGACCACUGAGUCCUAGAAGACUCAGCCACUACUUGAGAAUGUUGGUGAAGAUAUCAUCUAAGCUGGCUUUGGAGAGUGAGUGAGUUCUUCAGGAGACAGGUUCACAGACAUGUAUCCGAGCCUGUUACAUAUGGAGGUAGCAGAACUCACGUUGGAAGAUAGCAUCUGGAGGUUAUGCCUGAAGAACAGCUGACACCUGCUGCAUCGAUGUCACGGGUGAAAAUGCUUUGGGGCUGUGUGGGCCUGCCGAGCACCUAGUGGGGGCUUUGGAGAGGUGUCAAUAGCCUGCCCGAUGCCUUUGUUCUAAUCAACUGUGAUGAGGAUGCCUGACUUUCCACCCCACUUCUCUGGCCUCCAGUUAACUGAAAAACAGGUCCCUGGAUACCCAGCUUCCAGCCUGAUUCUCUUGACUCCUUGAAGAACUUGCACAAGCCAUAGCCUACCAGGCUCUGCCAUCCAUGGGAUUUUCCAGGCAAGAAUACUGGAGUGGGCUGCCAUUUCCUUCUCCAGGGGAUCUUCCCAGCCCAGCAAUCAAACCCGGGUCUCCUGCAUUGCAGACAGACGCUUUACUGUCUGAGCCACCAGGGAAGCCCUUAGACAAGAGCACUCUGAAAUCCCCAAGUCCAGCACAAUGAUGUGCUUAAAGAUCUUGAGAUGACCAGAUCAUUCUGCAUCACCCAAGUGAGUCCUCAGAAGACAGAGGCAGAGGGAUGACUUCCCUGGUGGUGUGGUGGAUGGGAGUCUGCCUGCCAAUGCAGGAGACACGGG
ensembl:lncRNA